UACAGAGGCCCCAAGCGUUACUGAGAAUCACUGGGUUUAAAGGGUGCGUAGGUGGCGCGUUUAAGUCCGUUGUGAAAUCCCUUGGCUCAACCAAGGAAAUGCUUCGGAUACUGGCGUGCUUGAGGCUAGUAGGGGUCACUGGAACUGACGGUGGAGCGGUGAAAUGCGUAGAUAUCGUCAGGAACGCCGAUGGUGAAGACAGGUGACUGGGCUAGUUCUGACACUGAGGCACGAAAGCGUGGGGAGCGAACGGG
rnacentral:rRNA from 1 species